AAAGCAUGGCCUGCUCCAUAUACACUGCCUUAUCUGGCUAGCUGAUGGGGGCUCAGAGUUUAGUCAUUCUUCCAUUGAUAUUGGGGCGAUGCGAACAACCAUGAGACAAGGUGAAAACUCAAGGAGAGCCAUCACUAUACUCCUUCCAGCAGACACUCCACAGAGUACAAGGAACAAUGCUCAUGAUCAGGUCCCGUCCAUCCCCUAGCAAGGAAGUUGCUGAAAAGCUCUUUACUGGUGAAGAAACUGCAGAUGGCAGUGGCGGCAGUGACAGUGGUGCAGCCACCUCUAAUUAGAACAGUUCAAGCAAGGAUGCAUGAGCAGUGAAGCUCAUGUCAUUUUGUCUCUACCAGUUGCGGCUGACUUUUGUGUACCCUUUGUCUCUGGCAAGAAGAGUCCAAUGCAUGGGAUUUGGAGUCUGCAUCGACAUCGGCUUGGAAACUGUGUAGUAUGGUCAGUUAGUAUUCAAAGCUACCAUCUAGGUUGUUUGGUAGCUAUGCAUACUUGUUGCAUGUAGAUUUAUAGUGCUUGGAUUUGCUGUGACCUGUGAUAUU